AACGAACGCUGGCGGCAUGCCUAACACAUGCAAGUCGAACGAAGGCUUCGGCCUUAGUGGCGCACGGGUGCGUAACGCGUGGGAACCUGCCCCUCGGUUCGGAAUAACAGUUAGAAAUGACUGCUAAUACCGGAUGAUGACUUCGGUCCAAAGNUUUAUCGCCGAGGGAUGGGCCCGCGUAGGAUUAGCUAGUUGGUGGGUAAAGGCCUACCAAGGCGACGAUCCUUAGCUGGUCUGAGAGGAUGAUCAGCCACACUGGGACUGAGACACGGCCCAGACUCCUACGGGAGGCAGCAGUGGGGAAUAUUGGACAAUGGGCGAAAGCCUGAUCCAGCAAUGCCGCGUGAGUGAUGAAGGCCUUAGGGUGUAAAGCUCUUUUACCAGGGAUGAUAAUGACAGUACCUGGAG
rnacentral:rRNA from 1 species